CUGAGCCCAGCCCACCAUCCCCUUGCUCCCAAUUUUCACCCACCCACAGGCAAUGAUAGACCUGAUGAACACAACUUACACACCGUAAAAACCUAGGAGCUGAUUUUAUUUUGCGUUGGCUGAGCUUGAGAAAGGAAACGAAGCCAGUCAGGAGAAUGCAGGAUGUGGGGACAUUUUCAUGCUGAUAAAGGUUCACAGGUGACGUUAGACAAACAGUAUUGGAGAGCACCUCGCAGAGAGAAACCUGGGACCCUGACAGCCUGUUAGAGGUGGUGAGUAAUGGGAUGAAUGGGGGAAUUCAGGGCAACAGUGGGCCCACCUGUGGGGAGGGGGAAACAGGUGCAUGAGGGAGAGGAGGCUUCCCCUGAAUCUGGGCCUCCAACUUACAGCCUGGUCCUACUGGCCUGUGCCUUUAGGUAUAUACUUUCUCACACAGGCACGGAGAACAGUAGGAUGCCGUUGACAGCAUGAGAGAGUCAAGGAUCAUACUGAGUCGAGAGCGGGUGACAGCAGUGCCGCGCACAGUGGCCGCUGACCCCUGCGAGCCGAAGCUGGCGGCUUUCCUAGGAAUGGUCUGGAGAGCGUUUGAUUAGGUCAGGCUGCUCCUGCUGCUUCAAACCUACCUGUCUGAUGCUCCGUGACAGGGGGAAGAGAGGUCGCGGUGAACACCAGGACAAUUAGUGUGCCGGGUUUUUUGUUUUUUGUUUUUUGCAUCUGCCUGCCUUCCUCCCAUUUGGUGACCACCAGAGAAACCUCCAUCAUCGCUUGGUCAAAUGAAGCCUGGCAAACAAACCAAGCCUCUUCCCCCCAGUUUGUUGUGCUGUGAAAAGAUAAAGGAGGCACAGUGAACA